rnacentral:rRNA from 1 species
UCCGGUUGAUCCUGCCAGAGGUUACUGCUAUCGGAGUUCGAGUAAGCCAUGCGAGUCUAAAGGCUUCUUCGGAAGCCUUGGCGGACUGCUCAGUAACACGUGGAUAACCUACCCUUAGGACUGGGAUAACCCCGGGAAACUGGGGAUAAUACCGGAUAGAUCAGGGAUGCUGGAAUGCGCCUUGAUCCAAAGCUCCGGCGCCUAAGGAUGGGUCUGCGGCCUAUCAGGUUGUAGUGGGUGUAACGUACCUACUAGCCGACGACGGGUACGGGUUGUGAGAGCAAGAGCCCGGAGAUGGAUUCUGAGACACGAAUCCAGGCCCUACGGGGUGCAGCAGGCGCGAAACCUUUACAAUGUGCGAAAGCAUGAUAAGGGGACUCCGAGUGCCAGUAUCUAAUGCUGGCUGUCCUUGUGCCCAAAAAGCACAAGAUAGCAAGGGCCGGGUAAGACCGGUGCCAGCCGCCGCGGUAACACCGGCGGCCCGAGUGGUAGCCGCUAUUAUUGGGUCUAAAGGGUCCGUAGCCGGUUCGGUAAGUCCUCUGGGAAAUCUGGUUGCUUAACAAUCAGGCUGCCAAGGGAUACUGCCUGAACUUGAGACCGGGAGAGGUAAGAGGUACUUCAGGGGUAGGAGUGAAAUCUUGUGAUCCCUGGGGGACCAUCUGUGGCGAAGGCGUCUUACCAGAACGGGUCUGACGGUGAGGGACGGAAGCUGGGGGCGCAAACCGGAUUAGAUACCCGGGUAGUCCCAGCCGUAAACGAUGCUCGCUAUGUGUCAGGUACGGUGCGACCGUAUCUGGUGCCGUAGGGAAGCCGUGAAGCGAGCCACCUGGGAAGUACGGCCGCAAGGCUGAAACUUAAAGGAAUUGGCGGGGGAGCAC